rnacentral:sRNA from 1 species
UUUACGCAUCGCGGACGCGCGUGGCAG